rnacentral:sRNA from 1 species
AUGGCUUCGACUGCCUCGUCCUACUGGUGCUACAGGUGCAACCACUUCAUCCGGGUCCGGGUUCGGGUCGAAGACGCCGUCCUCUGCCCCGAUUGCGGCGGCGGAUUCGUCGAAGAAACCCCGACCCGAUCCCCGCACCACCGGUUCCCCGCCGCAAUGUACAUCGACAACCCGCCCAAUCCGCAGCACAACGCAAUCCCAAUCCCAAUCCCUAGGCUCCGCCGCAGCCGGAGGAACGGUGGGGAUCGCUCGCCGUUCAACCCGGUCAUCGUCCUCCGUGGGAACGAGCCCGAGAGAGGGAAUUUCGAGCUCUACUACGACGACGGAGCCGGGUCGGGGCUUCGGCCUUUGCCGGCUAGUAUGUCGGAUUUCUUGAUGGGAUCAGGGUUUGAUCGGCUUCUCGAGCAAUUGGCUCAACUGGAAAUCAAUGGGGUUGGAAGGUUAGAGCAUCCACCGGCUUCAAAAGCCGCGAUCGAAUCGAUGCCGUUUGUGAAGAUCGUUGGGAGCCAUGUCUCCAUGGAGUCUCAUUGCGCAAUUUGCAAAGAACCGUUUGAGCUGGAUUCGGAGGCGAGAGAGAUGCCUUGUAAGCACAUUUACCAUUCGGAUUGUAUUCUGCCAUGGCUUUCGAUUAGGAAUUCGUGCCCAGUGUGUCGGCACGAGUUGCCCACGGAUGUGCGUGGUGGGAGUGGUAGGAGUUCGCCGGAGUUGGACCCUGUAACGGGUCCGGCUCGGGAUGAAGAGACCAUGGGAUUGACGAUUUGGAGAUUGCCCGGGGGCGGGUUUGCGGUUGGGAGGUUUACUGGGGGGAUAAGAGCAGCAGAGCGUGAGCUGCCUGUUGUUUACACUGAGGUGGAUGGUGGGUUCAAUGAUGGAGGGUUUAAUGGUGGUGGUGGUGGUAAUGUUCCAAGGAGGAUUUCGUGGGAGACAAGUAUGAGAAGCUCAAGGGAGAGUGGCGGGUUGCGCCGGGUGUUUCGUAGUUUCUUCUCAUUCUUUGGGAGGCUUAGAAUUACUUCAUCAACCUCAGGGUCAAGGUCUGAGCCGCGAAGGAGUCACUCUAAUUUAGUGUUUAGUCGGUCGUGGAGGAGGCGGCAGCGUGGUCAGCCAGCGGCUUUGGAUGAUGACAGAUGGUAAAUUUUGAUUUUGUAAUGAGAGAGGCGUUGAAUUGCUUAUAUUCUUUAUCUAGGGUCUUCUCUAAUUGUUUCAGUAAGACUACAAUGUUUUCACAUAUGUAUAUUGUUUGAUUUUACUUGCUGUACAUAACAACACAUGAGAAAGAGUUGAGCAAUUUUUCAGUUUUGAAUUCUGUCAAAGAGAGAAAUGAAGUGGCAGAUCACUUAGAUUUUCACACUAGUGGAAGGAGAAGAAGAUAGUUAUGCAAUUAGAGUGGGCCUUCAAAAGUUAUGGAGGUAAAUCCCCUUGUAGCUGCGCUUGUACUAAUGUUGUACCUUAUUGAGCUCCGCUGAUGGUUUUUAUUACAAUAGGAAAUGCACACUUUCUUCUCUUAAUGUAUUUGUAGAAGCUGUUUGGUAUGUAAUAUCUGCCGUUCCUUGUAGACAAUUUUGAACUUUUUUUAUUGUAUGUAACAUGGUUUCUUUCCCUCUGUGGUCUUGUGUCCUUUUGGGCGCUUUUGACUCCACAAGCUACUCUUCAAUAACAGUGGCUUACUUGCUAAAAUUUUCCAAUUCAAUUUUCUUGAUUUAUGUUGGCGGUUUCUUAACAUAGAAUGUCUGCCAUAAUACAUUUAUGGAUCAGAGGAUUGUAGUUGCAAGUGGGACCAAUGGUCAUUAGGUUGCCAACAAUACAAGAUGGCUAGUUAACCAGGAGACGUUGAUCAUAUUGAUUUCAAAAGCUUCCUGGAAUCAACUAUUAGAUAGGCUGCAGUUGUAGCUUAUCACUUGCAUGGACUGCUAUGGAGUGUUUUUAUGAAACGGUUCUUAAUUAUCCUGAUACUUGUUGGGUAUUGUUAAUUUGUUUUUCUUACCUGUUCUUGUGAUGAUGUUCAUAGGAUAGUUGAUUUUGUAGCAUCACUGGUAACCCUGACCAGUUUCAUUUUGAAAGUUCUUCAUAACUGAAAAUAAGCAGCAGAACCACUAGCUUGAGGGGCUGCUGCAAUACUUUGGCAUCAUUGCUACAGGUCAGUUUUCCUGCAGUGUAUUGUUGUGGAGAACUUGUGGUGAUGUAACCCUUAAAUGCACUUAUUUUUAAACUCAAAAAUUAUUAUAAUGUAUAAAAAAACAUGGUGUAAUGUAUAGCAUGCAGGUCAUUCCAAAAUCUUGAAACAAAUGAGAAAGGAUACCGUUUGCUUCUCAUUUUUUUAAUGGAAUGCAUUCUGGUUAUUGUAUUUAAGCAUCUUUGCUUAUUUUGAAUUGGUAUUACCUUUGGCAGAGAAUUUUAGAUUGAAUGAUGGUAUCAGCAUUGUUGAAGUAUUUUUUUUAAUAUGAUAAGGGAUAUUUAGAAUCAUGUUGUAGUAGGUAAGGCUGAAUUUUUAGCCUUUUACUUGUAUAAUCAUGUCAUAUACAUUCAUAUCAAGAUGGUUUUCAACCACCUAGGUACCAUUAGGAUGUCAUUUAUCUGUUUUCUUGACCUUUUUGGCACAUGGAAGGCUUUGCCAAUGAGCUUCUAGCUCAACUGGCACCUUCUUUCCUUGUAAGUUUUAGGUGGAGGGUGAGGAAUUGGCUUCAAGACCAAUCGGGUGCACCUCCUCUCCUUGUAAGUUUUAGGUGGAGGGUGAGGAAUUGGCUUCAAGACCAAUCAGGUGCGUGUAUAAAAAAAAUAUUGGAUGAUUUCAGGUUCAAAGGUAUGUAUAUAAAUGAUCAAUUGCAUACACCUGGUGGGUAUUGACUCAUGACCACAACCUCCACGCCAUUCUUCAUGGAGGAAGUACCAUUGGAACUAGAGCUCAUAUAUUAACAGUCAACUAUACAGAAAAAAUCUGUUUGAAGUGGGAUUCAACUAUACAGAAAAAAGAAAAAAAAAGCUGCUUUUUUUUUUUACCAUCUUAGCUGUGCAUUGUAGCUCAACAGCCAAAUUUUUUUACUUUCCCUCCACCAUUGUAGCAUGCUUUCUAGUAUUGGUAGUGUUGAAAAUGGCAAUAUGGCUUUUAACACCACCAAUGCUAAUGCCCUUAGUAUGUAAGUGUUAGUACGGUAAGCAAUAGACCCCCUAAAAAUAUAACACCUUCAUUAUAAUUUUUUUUAUUUAUUUAUAAUUAUUGGUGCUAAAACAGGUUAAAUUGGAGGAAAAAAAAUUAAAAAGUUAAGGGGGGGUCUUAUUGUUACAAUAUCAAAGUUUAUGUAUUAAAUUAACGAGACAUAAAGUUAAGUGUAUCUAUUUAUUACAAUGCCAAAGUCUAUGACAAAGGGUGUGCACUGUUCGUUCAAAUCGUUUUUUUUUUUUUUUUUGGUAACCAAACCGAUUAGUAUCGGUUUCCCCAUAACUGAACCAAUGCACAUCGCCAAAGGUCGGAUUUCUGACCUACAACAAUGCAAUUUAUGUGAACGGUUUAAUUGUUAAAAAAAAAAAAAAAAAAAAACUCUAAAAAUUUGGGCCUCUCAAGCCCAAUAUCUUUUAAAACUUCAAGCAAAUAAAAACUUCUAUUUACUUCUAUUUAUUUAGCAAGCUGUCCAAUUACAUGGCCAAGCUUAAACUCUAAGGGUACGUUUGAUAUGUUGUAAUAACUUCUAUAAUAUAAUAAUUAUUCAUGUGUAAUAGCAAUUCGAUCAUUUGGUUGUAUCUUUAUUACAUGGAUUAGUCUUUUCUUUUCUUUUCUUUUCUUUUUUUUGAGAGAAAGUUUCAACCUAUGGCGUUCGCUUUUGAUGAUAGCUCUUUAUUAUCAGAUCAAAACACCAAUCAGUUUUUGGUGUAGACGAGGAUUAAACCCUAGAUCUCUUAUACAACUAUCAGAGAUUUUACCAAUUGAGUUAACUGGAAUCCACACGUGGAUUAGUUAUUACAUUGGAAUAACUAUUCUUUAAAUUGAAGAAUAACUAUUCCUUUUUAAAAUGGAUGUAAUAGCUAUUCCUUAGUGCAUAUAAUAGUUUUUAAAAUUAAUAUAUUUUCAAAAAUAUAAAUUUUUUUUAUACAUUAUCUUUUACAAACUUUCCAUAUGUAACAACCAAACUUAUGGAUAGUAAUAGUUAUUCCAUUACAACAUCUUUUAUUUCUAGUAAUAAAAAUUACUAUUCCUAAUGUAAUCUAUAUUCAAUGUACCAAACAUACUCUAAUUAUUUAGGGCUCAUUUGGGAUCCGCUUAUUUUGCUGAAACUAAUUUUUUUUUUGCUAAAAGUACAGUAGAUAAAGGUAAAAGUUAGCUGAAAUAAUACAAUGAGACUUGUGAAUAAAACUAAAAAGUGUAGUGAGACUCGUGAAUAGUAGCAAAAAUAAGUUAAAUAGUAAAAUAAGUUGGCAAAAAUAAUCUUUGCCAAACUGACACUUAGCUAGCAACCUAUUAGAUGUCCAAUUGUCCAUCUAUCAAGUAUUCAUGAAAGAAAAAGUCCAAUGAUCCAUACAACAACCAUACAUCAUACAUUAAAAAAUCAUGUUCAUACAUGGUGAAUGAAAUAAGUUCCACAUAUUUCAUAAACUUGUUCAUGCCUAAACAGAUAAAACUUGUUCAAGUAUUAAUACAUAAAAAAAAUAAAUAAAUAAAUCCGUUCAUACAAAAUAAAUUUCAUCAUUUCAUUCAUCAUGCAAAAAAAGUUUUGGAAUUGCCUCAACAAGAAUUAAACUCCAAAAUAUCAUCAUGUAGCAUAUAAUAUCAUUAAGUAACCAUUCCAUUUGUUGUUGUUCAUAAAUGGCAAAAUAAAAAUAUACAAAUUAAAUUAACAUUUGAAAUAUAAAUAAUUAGCUCAAUGAAAUCAAAAUAAAUGGGUACAGAAUCUAAACUCUAAACUCCAUACGUAAAAAAAUAUAUAUUUACGCUCACAAUAGGCUAACUGGCUAAGCUAACUCUCUCUUUAGGUUUCUCCAAAAAAAAAGAAAGAAAGAAAUUUAUGCCUACAAUAUCCUACUUUCCUUACACUCACUUUCAUUUUUCUUCUUCUUCUUUUUAUUUUUUUAUUUUUUUAAUUUUUUUUUUGUCAUGAUAGACAAAUGGUGAUCACUAUGCCUCCGUUACUAAUGAAAAAUGAAAAUAUUUCAUUAUUUAGUUUAUUUUUACUAUUAUUCAUGGGCACCAUUGCACUUUUUGGUAUUAUUCAUGGGUCUACUGUACUAUUUUAACUAACUUUUUACCUUUAUCUACAGUACUUUCAGCAAUAAUUUUUCAAUUUCAGCAAAAUAAACAAUACCCAAAUAAACCCUAAAUAUCAUCAAAAUUUGGAAGUGAAAACCCAUAACAAAAAUCAGCUUUAUUUAUUUAUUUAUGAAAAAUUUCCACUUCGAAUACUAGUGAUUUUUUUAACAUAUAUACUAAUAAAUUUAGUUUUUUUUAGUGGGCUAGAAAAUACUGUCAUUUAUUUUGGGCCCAAUUAAAACGAGCACGAUCCAAGUCUGAUCCAAGUCCAACUACAAAAUUCUUUUGAAUUUCAAAAAAUGUUACCGUUGAGUUGAGAGAGAGAGGUAUUGGCAAUGGAGGCUGUCUCCGUUUGCUUCAGAGGUAUUCUUCUCAUCAAAAACAGAAAAUCUCAACCGGUUUCCCUCUACCCAUUCGCAGCACAGGUUUCUCUCUCUCUCUCUGUCUCUAAAAUUUGUUUCUAUGCUUUGAUCAAACUCAAUUACUGUUCUCUAUCAAUUCAUUCUCUUUUGGAAUUGGGAAAAACCAAAACAAGAAAAAGGACUGGGCAUCACUGCUUUUUUUUUCUUUCCCUUUUAUCAAUUCAAUCACAACAAAUCCAUUGUGGGUUGUUAAGACCAGACUCCAGAUUAUGAAUAAUAUUCUGCUCUAUUUUGAUUUUCUUCUCAGAACAUCGUUCUCAUCCCCUUACUGGCCUCUGCAUCACCACGCUACCAUUGGUCCACCCCCCAACAGCCAGACCCGCCCCCCUCCGGUUAGUUCAAUGAUGAUAGGAGCUAGAGACCCUCAAGGUUUGGCACCCAUACAAUAAUUAAGGUAAUCUCCAAAUUUUCUCAAUCUAAAUGCUUCAUUCAUGUUUAUACACAGUUUCAAGUUUGUGACUUGAAAAAUAAAAAUAAUUAUUUGAUGGGUAUGUUAGACUAAAAUUUUGUAUUUGUUAUGAUGUGGCAGCCUUACGAAUCUCUGGCUGUGAUCUCAUCCAAGAAAGUGGCAUCUUGCUUAAACUGUAUCCUGUUUUAUUUAUUUAUUUAUAUGUUGGGUUUAUGAGAUUGUUUACUUUUCUUAAUUUUGUUGGCUCAGUAUGAACCUGCCUGGCUGUGGCAACCAGACAGGUUCUAUAACAUCGUUUCUAUGCAAGAAAUCGUUUGCUCGCUUCAAUGUCAAGGUUAAGUUUUGUCUCUUAUCAUUCUCUCUUUACAUUGAGAAUAAAUGUAAGAAAGAAAAGUGUUCUUUGAAAUGUGUCCAUGAUGUUCUAAUUGUUAGAAUUAUGGUUAAAUUCACCAUUUUCUAAUAGUUGAAGUUUUUGGGACAAUUAAUGAUUUAUCAGGGUAUCAACGCAGGUGGUCAUGAGUUCGAACCUUACCUUCACUCCAACUCUCAUUAAAAAUGUUAAAGGUGGUCAUGAGUUCAAACCCUACCUUCACUCCAACUCUCAUUAAAAAUGUUAAAAAUCCCAUGUGUUGGGCCUCACUUCUUAAGGGAGAGUUUGAGAUUAUACAUGAGGGGAGUGUUAGAAUUAUGGUUAGUUGAUUAAAUACACCAUUUUCUAUUAGUUAAGCUUUGGGAUAAUUGAUAAUUUACCACUAGUUUUGUAUCUGUAAUUCACCUCUACCAAGUCCAACCGUUGCAUUGAGCUUCGUUGAAUUAAGGUCCUUAUUUUCCAGAAUGUAUUUUUAUUCUUACAUUUUCUUAGCAACCAAUAAGUAAUAGUUGUGUUACGAACUUGGAACAGCAUAAAACUUCUAUGCCCAUGUAACUCAUCCAUUAAUUUUCUGGGAUAUGAUAAUUUUUUGCAGAAAGUUGCUGCAAGCUGCUUGUGGCUUGCAUCAAAGCUGGAGGAAAGCCCAAGGAAAGCAAGACAAGUCCUUAAUGUUUUCCACAGAAUAGAAUGUAGGAUGGAGAACAUACCGAUAGAGCAUUUGGAGAUUGGUUCACAGGUUAAGCACCCACCUUCUUUUCCCUGCAAUUACCUGUUUAUCAUUUUCUUCUUAGGCACAGGAAUUUAAUCUUUCUUCUUCUUUUUUUUUUUCUUUUUUGGCAACCACCGAGUAUAAUGGCUUUGUCUGAAUAGGUGGUUAAUUUUAGCACUUCAGGUGUCUUUGCACUUAUAUAGUCCUCCUAUUUUUCUCUAAAAAUGCAAUAAAUUCUCAUGGUUUCCUUGCUUAUCCUAUUACUUUUCUAACAGAAAUAUCAUGACCUCAAGACUGACUUGAGCAGGACAGAAAGACUUAUAUUGAAAGAGAUGGGAUUUGUUUGUCAUGUUGAACCUUGCCAUUCUCAAAACACCUCCAGAACUGAGGCUGGAAGCUUGGAAUCUAGCAAAUGAUAGGUACUUUUUGCAAAUUAACUACUCAUGGACAAAAGUUAUGCACUUUAUUUUCUUAUUAUUUGGCUAUACAUUUAACAAGGGAACUUUGCAUCUAAAAUUUGUAUUCUUCAGUUAAGUCUUACUUAUAAAAAAAGGUGUCAUUUAGUUUACAUAUCUAUAUAGAUGGUAUUCAUAACUAUCAAAAAAAAGAAAAAAGAAGACAGUAUUCAUAGAUGUCUUUAGUAUCAUAUAGAAUCUACAUUGUAUAAUAUUAGAUUUUUGUAGGAAGUGUUCAUAAUUCGACUAGUAUGUUUGAGUCAGUGUACACUAAAUACUCUUUGGGCAAUGUAUAGUGCUUUUAUUUUUGGUUGGCUACAUAAAUCCCUCUUCUCCAAUCAGCCCUAUUUAGGGCCAUAUUCUGUUAUAUUUUUUAUGAUUAUGCUUUUCUUUCUUUUUAGACCAAUAUUAUAUUUAGGCCUCUCUUGAAUGCCUUUAGCUCCUUGAAUCUAUAAACUGCCUUUUUUUUUUUUUUUUUUUUUUUUUUUUUUUUUUUUUUNAUCUAUAAACUGCCUUUUUUUUUUUUUUUUUUUUUUUUUUAUGUUGCCCUGGCCAUGCAUAUAAUUUGAUGCAGAAGACAUCUUGACAGUUAUUUGUUUAGUUGGUAGUCACACUGUAGUAUGUAAGAAACAAUUGCAUUCUUCUAUGCUUCAGAAUAACAGGUCAAACUCCAAAGCACCCUCUUUUUUUUUUUUUUUUGUGGUGUGCUUCUGUUUGUUAUGCCUUGUCUCAUUUCAAUAAAAUUAUUCAUACUUAUAUAUAUAUAUAUAUAAAGAAGUUGUUUGUAAUGCCUUUAAUUAUGUGAAACUAUGGUAACUGUGUUUGAGUCAAUUAUUUUAUCUGGUUUCAUGCUCAAUUUUCUCGUCAACCUUUUUUUUUCCCUUUAAACAGUCAACUGACAUUUGAAGAUACAUUUUAUAGCUGUGUUUAGUACUAGAUAUUGUUUUUUCCAGUUGCAACAAUAUCUAUCUCUUUUCAAUUAUGAAAUUUGGAAAAUAAAACCUUUUUCUCAGACAUUAGAAAGAGAAGCAUUUACCUACCUAAAGAGCUGAUAAGUUUGAUUAUUAUGUGAAUGUCAGAAGAAAGUUUUAAGUUUUGUCUAGUAAGAAAAAAGAAUAAACUAUUGACUGUUAGAAUGAUUAAGCUACAAAUGUAAGGACAGUAGUGAAACAUUUUUUAACUCAAUUAAAUUAUGCUUUGCUGUGACAUGGCAUUCAGAGGUGUGCAGGAAUGUCUAAGCUAAAACUUUCUUUAAGUUCUAUACCCCUAUUUUAACAGGAAAGUUUCUUUAGAAUUGAUCAAGUGGAGAUUCUGUGGAAGACUGCUAGAAAUGUUAAUUCAAUAGCAGCCCCUGGUGGUUGAUGCUUAAUCACUUUUUAGCUGGCAAGUUGUUUCUCUAAGAUAAUAACUCACUAUUAAGUUCUAUACCCAUACCCCACUUUUCUGUUAACUGUCAGACAACAUGAUUUGCUCUCCCUUCUCUCUCUCUCUCUCUCUCUCUCUCUCUCUCUCUCUUCCAUAAAGAUAAGUUUAACUUUAUCUUCAAUCCUUGUAAUUUGCAACCUGCCAUACAAGAUGAAGGGCUGUAUAAGCCUGAAAUGGUAAGAUGGGAAACAGAGUUUAUAUAUGUUGAUUUGUUGAUAAUGUGAUAUCAAUAGACAAAUUGAUUUUGGGAAAGGGGAGCAAUUAGAAGAAUAUCAUCAACAAAUUAACAUUUAUAAACUCAGUUUUUAUAUAUGUUCACUUUUUAUUGUUCAGUAAGAUUUCCACCUAUGACCUGUCCUGUCCCACCAUUUUUACGACCUAAACCAGGCCUUGAAAUGGUUAGUAACGUUGUGGUUUAUUGUUUUAAGUAGUCUUAAAAUCUAAGGCAUGAGUUGAUGACACUGUGCUUGAAAGCUGGUCAGAAUAUGUGUUGUCUUUCAUAAAUUGAUAUUGUAAUGUAAUAAUAUGAUAUGGCUGGUAAUACAAAAGUUUCCCAAUAUAUCACAUUUUUUUUAUGUUUCAUUGAGGUGUUUUGGACAUUCAUUUCUUUUUCAUCUUCAUUCAGACACAGGGAAUGAGGCGGGAUGUAAUUCCUUACAAAGAUAUGCUGUCUGCAUUGACAAGGAUAGCACAUGAGGAAGUCAUUCGAGGAUUGUACAGGUAAGUUCUUCCUUAGUUUGAUGUGUAUUAUGUGAAUUUGCAAAUAACCAGUAUCUGGGAUCCAAUCUUAAAUACAUUUAUGAGUAAUUGUGGUAAUUAAUGCAGCUAGCUACUCUUUUACUUCAAUUGAUUAUAAACUACUUACAUUAUAAAAUAAAAAUAAAAAUUUGUUAGAAUGAUUGAGACCCAUUCUGCUCAAAGCGAUUACUAAAACGUGCUUUCCACAUUGUUUAAUUCAACAAAGAAAGUCUUCAUGCUGUGUUCUUUUUGUCAUGAUAUUUUUUUGGUUUGAAACAGUGGCAUUGUUCCUUCAUUGGCCCCAAUAUGUCAUGUUGCCAUUCAAUUUCCUACAUAUGAAAAGAUCCAAGUCUUAUAUGGCAAGAAGGGGAGGUACAUAAAGUUUGAUGAGGGUCCCUAG